AAGUUCCAACUUCCCACGUAUAUAUUAAAAAGAAAAGAUUGCCAAUUCCAACGACCGUCCAUGGCUGGAGUUCACGGGAAACCAAUCGAUUGCUUCAACUCCUCCGCAUUCCCCCCUUGGUUGGACGGUCGAAUCGGCCAAAGAGACAAAGAAACAAACGGGUGGUGUGGGUCUAUCUCUCGGUCUCUUUCUUCAUCACUUCGCUUGUUGGUCGGAGGACAGAUUGACGCCAAUUACACUCCACUACACUU
rnacentral:lncRNA from 1 species